UACGAAGGGGGCUAGCGUUGCUCGGACUUACAGGGCGUAAAGGGCGCGUAGGCGGACAGUUAAGUCAGAGGUGAAAGCCCAGGGCUCAACCUUGGAAUUGCCUUUGAUACUGGCUGUCUUGAGUACGGGAGAGGUGUGUGGAACUCCGAGUGUAGAGGUGAAAUUCGUAGAUAUUCGGAAGAACACCAGUGGCGAAGGCGACACACUGGCCCGUUACUGACGCUGAGGCGCGAAAGCGUGGGGAGCAAACAGG
rnacentral:rRNA from 1 species